ACUCUCGGCAACGGAUAUCUCGGCUCUCGCAUCGAUGAAGAACGUAGCGAAAUGCGAUACUUGGUGUGAAUUGCAGAAUCCCGUGAACCAUCGAGUCUUUGAACGCAAGUUGCGCCCUAAGCCUUCUGGCCGAGGGCACGUCUGCCUGGGUGUCACAAAUCGUCG
rnacentral:rRNA from 1 species